CCUUUGACGUUAGCGGCGGACGGGUGAGUAACACGUGGGUAACCUACCUAUAAGACUGGGAUAACUUCGGGAAACCGGAGCUAAUACCGGAUAAUAUUUCGAACCGCAUGGUUCGAUAGUGAAAGAUGGUUUUGCUAUCACUUAUAGAUGGACCCGCGCCGUAUUAGCUAGUUGGUAAGGUAACGGCUUACAAAGGCGACGAUACGUAGCCGACCUGAGAGGGUGAUCGGCCACACUGGAACUGAGACACGGUCCAGACUCCUACGGGAGGCAGCAGCC
rnacentral:rRNA from 1 species